AGUUCUUCUCGUAUUGUGAUGUAGUGCAACACUUUGAUUUACAUAUAAGUGAGAUUUCGAUAAUUGCAUAAAAAAAAAUUAAAACAGUGGAAGGAAGUAAAAUGCGCAUUGCAAAAUUUAGCAAAUGCAGUUUCGAAGCGGAGAUUAUUGAUUCGCGAGAAGAUCGUGAAAUACUGGACCAGCAAUGUCAA